CUGUGUUUCCUCCCUGGUGUUGUUGGAUCACUGAGUCUUUCAUGAGUCUUUCUUGUGCUUUAACCUACGCUCCUGCUUCCAGUGUUUUUCAUUGUUUACCCUCUCCUACUCCCCGUGGUUCCCUUAUGUUUGGACAUUUUGGAUUGUGUUUUCUGGGGAAAGUUAAAGUGUCCUGGAUUGGGGAUGUACGAUCCUCCAGAUGUGACUGAGGUCCAAAUGUUAGCCGAGCAUCCUGAGGUUCUAAACCAUGUUCCACGUGAUCCAGCUCCCAAUGUUGCACCAGUUGUAAUAGUGGCUCGUGCUCCUGAGGAAGAAUUUGAGUGGUGAGAUGAAUUCCAGGACACUGAUAGUGAGACUGGAGGUGACACUGACAGUAACGCAGACAGCUCCCUGGAUGAAAGUGUCGCCAGCAAUGAAGACGAGGUGUUUGCUGUAGAAGAAGGAGAUGAUGAGUACUCACAUCCCCGUCCAAGGCGAGAGAAAUAGAGGAGGAAGAUGAUUCCGAAUCAGAGGAGAGCGACAGCAAAAGAUUUAGGUGGGAUGAGUUAGUGGAUACUGACACUGAGAGCUGGUAUGACAGUGAUUCCAGCAGUAUCACCUCUAAAACUGAAAACACAGAGGAUGACAAAGAUAUGGUCCCAGAAGAAAAAGAGGAAGAGGAGGACACAUUUUCUGCUGAUACCAGACAGAUGAAAAGGCUGGACAAAGAUAUCAAUGAAGAUCAUGACUCAUUUCAUGACCGCAACUACAGGAAGAGGAAAAGAGAUGAAGAGGGAGUUGAUGAAGAUGGAGGAAGCCUCCAAAGAUUCAGACACUGAACCAUCAAGAAUCACAACAUACACUUUCCCCUUCAUUCCCCUCAUCCACGUCACAUCCACAGCCCACAAUGGAUUCAUCCAAACUUCAAUCUUGGGGAUCAGGGAAAAAAAAAAAAACUAUCCAGAUCUUUGUGCGGACUAGGGAUACCUAGAUCCAGAUCUCAGGUUGGGUGUGGACCAGGUUGA